GCCCGCUUAGCUCAGAGGUUAGAGCAUC
rnacentral:tRNA from 1 species